GGCGCUAUGGCCGAGUGGUUAAGGCGACAGAUUUGAAGGAUCAUUAUCUGUUGGGAUCUCCCGCACAGGUUCGAACCCUGUUGGCGCCG